rnacentral:rRNA from 1 species
UACGUAGGUGACCAGCGUUGUCCGGAUUUACUGGGCGUAAAGAGCGCGCAGGCGGUCGUUCAAGUCGAGUGUGAAAGCCCCCGGCUCAACUGGGGAGGGUCAUUCGAUACUGAUCGACUGGAAGGCAGGAGAGGGAAGCGGAAUUCCCGGUGUAGUGGUGAAAUGCGCAGAUAUCAGGAGGAACACCAGUGGCGAAGGCGCCACUCUGGGCCGUAACUGACGCUGAGGAGCGAAAGCGUGGGUAGCAAACAGG